UUUUUUAUUUUUUAUUUUUUAAUUUAGUAUAUUAAGGUUAAGAUAUUAAUAUUCACAAGUUUGCAACUCUAAUGUUCAUGAUUUUGUAUAUCCUCUAACAUCAAAAUUUCUAUUCAAAUAACAAAUUAGUAUACAAAAAACUACAAUAAGUGUUGAAAGGAAUAAAUUAAUUUUAGAGUUUUAAAGUUGGAUCUUUUCUUCUCAAUAUUUUUCAUAUUAAUAUCUUGAAGAAACAACUUAUAGUUCCUC
rnacentral:lncRNA from 1 species